AUUUUUGUGAUGUGUUUUAAGGUCCGAUCAGACUGGUUGGGUCUGGAUCAACUCGCUGCUCUGGAAGAGUUGAAGUUUACCACAAUGGAUCCUGGGGAACAGUCUGUGAUGAUGACUGGGAUCUAAAUGAUGCAAAUGUGGUCUGUAGACAGUUGUCCUGUGGACCAGCUCUUCAAACUCCUGGAUCAUCUCAUUUUGGUCAAGGAUCAGACAAAAUCUGGCUGGAUGAUGUAGCAUGUUCAGGCAAUGAAAGCUCAUUAAUACAGUGUGGUCACAGAGGUUAUGGAACACAUAACUGUGAUCAUAGAGAAGAUGCUGGUGUCAUCUGUUCAGCGGAACUGCAGAGGCCUAAUAUCUCACUCACGUCUCCUGGAGUGGGGUUAAUCUGGGGUCCUGGAGAAGCGGAGGUUACCAGGGGUCACAGCUUUAACUUAACCUGCUUCAUUCCUGAUGAAGUUUUUCAGGGUCAUUUCCUCCUCAUGUUUUCUGGUUCCAACAAGACAAACAGACUCCCAGCUGCCAACAAUUCAGCCUCCUUUACCUUUCCUGAGGCAGAGUUUGAACACCAAGGUAGCUACAGCUGUGUGUACCAGGUUAUCUUGCCUACAUCCACGUUCACCUCUGCUGCAUCAGCACCCAUCACUGUUGUAUUUAAACAGUCCCUGUUGUUGAUCUUGUUGAUAUCAAGUGGAAUCUUUCUUCUGCUGCUGUUCAUCUUGAUCCUGAUCUGUCUGGUUCGAAGGAGAAGAAAACUCAGCAAUUCAUCGAUUCUUUACCAGACUCAAAGGGCUCUUCAAGAGUGCACUGGAGACAGUGAGGAAGAUUAUGAAAAUCCUGACGGAGAACACAUUCCAUCAAGACUCACAAAGGAAUCAGAAGACGAAGACAGUAAUGAUUAUGUGAAUGCAAUAUAUGAUGAGAACAUUGAUUAUUCAGAAGCUGAUUCACGAUCCAGAAGAAAGUGUUUGAAUACGGAGAAUAACAGGCAGGAUGAGGAAACGGAUGAAGAGGAUGAAGGAACCAGUGAUGAUGAUAAUGACUAUGAGAAUGUAACUGCACAUUUCCAUCAGCCUGUUGAUGAUACUUAUGUAGAUCCAGUCUUUGACAAGAGUAUUGAUUAUCCAGAACUUGGUUUACAAUCCCAAAAGGAGGAAAUGGAUGAAGACACCAAUGAUGAUGAUAAUGACUAUGAGAAUGUAACUGCACAAGUCCAUUAACCUGUUGAAGAUACUUAUGUAGAUUCAAUCUUAGAUAAGAGUAUUGAUUAUCCAGAACUCGAUUUACAAUUCCAAGAGGAGGAAAUGGAUGAAGAUACCAGUGAUGAGGAUAAUGAAUACAUAAAUGUUUCCAAAUUCCAAAUCCAAUCUGGCAGAUUAUCAGGAUCAGGUGAGAUACAGGUCACCGAUGACUACCAGACGGAUGUCUUAUGUCUUUCAGGAGCUUUUGUCAAGUUUUUCUUUUUCUUGAUGCUUUGUAGAUUUGCAGUCUUUUAAGGCUUAAUGCUGUACAGAAAUGUAAGAUGACAAAUUUAUGACCUAUUCAGCCAUUAUGUAAGUCAAAAUAUCACACUUAUUUUGUUGCCGUAUUUGGUUUUGUUCAUUCUUUUUGUUCUGUUUUGUACUUUUUAUUUCUAUCAGAGUGGGACUUUGUUGUUUUUGUGCAUCUUUGUAUGUUUGUCUAAUUAUUUUCAUGUUUUGUGCUGGAAAGAGUGUGGCUUCCAUUUGGACCCCAGCUGAUGGAGGCAGCCUUUAAAAGCACCAUGUAGACUUCCAACCUGUAAGAAGGGAGAUUUUCUGCAACCUGUCUUCACUGCAGCUCGGCACUCUUAUCCAUUUGUUUUGUAGUUCUCCACCUGUUUUAGUUUGAGUUUCACUUUGGAAUUUUGUGGGUUUGUGACCUGGGGCCUGUUUCAGAAAGGAGGUUAAGUGUAAACUCUGAGUGCGUUAACCCUGAAAUCAGGGAAACCCUGGGUUUGGGAGGU